AGUCAAGUAAUUAAGUGCAUGUGGUGGAUGCCUUGGCAGUCAGAGGCGAUGAAAGACGUGAUAGCCUGCGAAAAGCUCCGGGGAGGCGGCAAAUAUCCUUUGAUCCGGAGAUGUCUGAAUGGGGGAACCCACCUACUUUAAGGUAGGUAUUGCAACAUGAAUACAUAGUGUUGCAAGGCGAACGAGGGGAAGUGAAACAUCUCAGUACCCUUAGGAAAAGAAAUCAAUUGAGAUUCCCUCAGUAGCGGCGAGCGAACGGGGAUCAGCCCAUUAAGUUAUGUGUGUUUUAGUGGAACGCUCUGGGAAGUGCGAACGUAGAGG
rnacentral:rRNA from 1 species